AUGAAUUUUGGAGUUCUACUGUGCCUGCCGUUCAUUUGGAUGUGUGCACGUAGUCUCUAUAGAUCCUUAUCAACACCUGUGCACCUUUAAAAAGGGGAAACUGAUUAAGCUUUUUACGGGCUUAUGAGGAAUAACCUUUUUCUUAUACAAACUCUUAAUGUCUAUUAGAAUGUUCUCUGGCCGCAAGGCUAUAAAAUAUAAA
rnacentral:misc_RNA from 1 species